rnacentral:rRNA from 1 species
CCUACGGGAGACAGCAGUGGGGAAUAUUGCACAAUGGGGGAAACCCUGAUGCAGCGACGCCGCGUGAGUGAAGAAGUAUUUCGGAUUGUAAAGCUCUAUUAGCAGGGAAGAACAUGACGGUAUCUGACUAAUAAGCACCGGCUAACUACGUGCCAGCAGCCGCGGUAAUACGUAGGGGGCAAGCGUUACCCGGAUUUACUGGGUGUAAAGGGCGCGUAGACGGGGAUGCAAGUCAGAUGUGAAAGCCUGUGGCUCAACCCCGGGACUGCUUUUGAAACUGUGUUACUGGAGUGUAGGAGAGGUAAGCGGAAUUCCUGGUGUAGGGGUAAAAUGCGUAGAGAUCAGGAGGAACACUAGUUGCGAAGGCGACUUACUAGACUGUAACUGACGUUGAGGCUCGAAAGCGUGGGGAGCAAACAGGAUUAGAUACCCCGGUAGUC